CCCGCCUCCGCCUCCGCCUCCACCUCCUUGCUUCGGACGCUGAGCGCUGCCAGCAGCCUUUCCGGUGGCGCUGCGAGGCGCCCUGGCGGGACCGGGCUGGAGCGAAAAGAUCAGAUAUGAGGAUCCAGGUAUUCUACCAGUGGAUAUUUAGUUUUCCUGAUGUGUUGUCACUUCAAGCAAUAUUUAGCUCUAACCAUCUCAAGAGUUGGACUGAAGAAGAAACCUCAUCUAUACAAGAUUCACCUUUUUGAGGCUUUCUGGUACAAAAUUGAAGAUACUAUCCAAUAACAUGUGUUCAUUGACAUGGUUAAAACAGAAAACAGCCAAAGAAAAUAUUUUGAACUCUUUUCUUUUCCUUUUUUUCAUGCACAAUGAUCUGUGUCAGUCAGACAAGCUUUAAUUUACCAUUUACCUGAGAAAACUCCGAGCCUUGCAGUAAAAUCUAAUUUUCCGAGGGUAGGAAGGGUUACUGUUAUUAUUAAAGGCACUGAAACAAACAAACAAUGUCCAUUAUAUGUUGUUUUAUUCAGUAGAAUAAAUUCAGUGAAAUACAACAGAAUUUUUUCUACCAGCAUUAGAAAACAGAAGUAGUAAUGCUGUUAUAAUAUAAACUAUAAAAGGACAAUGGAGAACACAGCUGACAUAGUCCUACAGAUCCUGUUGGACUAAAUUAAGGAUCUUGAAUCAACAAUACUACUUGGGAUUCCUAAAGGUGAUGUGGGGAUCUAUGCAUAUCUCAGGUCCCCAGAAACCUCACCCCUUCUCUAUGACCCUACACCUACUAUAAAGUGGAAAAAGAAGGAGAUCAUCCUCUCUCCAAGGAGAAACAGCAACAGGAGAUUCUGUACAUCCUGGAAUAGAAGCAGAGCCUCUCACCCAUUUGAGAAACACCCUUUGGAGACGAGUAGCAGCAGAUGGAGUCCCCAGUACCUAUUCCAGAGUCAGAGUGGGCCUGCUUGAUAGCUUUGGGUCUGCUGUACUGUGUUUCCUGCCACUGAAUCCUCUGCUAAGUAGUGCUGGUAAGCAAAGAAGUGUCCAGAGCUGCAAGUCUUUGGACAUGGGGCUAGUUAGCAUCUCUCAAACCUAUUGUCCCAAGCUGGUUCAAGUAGACAUACUUUUUACAUUGAUUUUACUUUUGUGACAUUUUCUCUGAUUCUAUGAGGCUAGAAACUUGCUUUUAUACAAUAAAAAAGAAAGGUGAGGAUUAAAUCAAAAGCAUGUAAGUCCUAGCAUAGGACUUCCAUACUUCUGUAUGGGACACAAAACUGGAGCUUGCCUAUGCCUUAACCCAGCCAUGCCCACACAGGAAAAAAAUUCCCAGCAGCAUGAAAAAAAGCAGAAGAUCCACCCUAUAAACUGGAGGAGAGACUUAGCUUAGAUGUCUGUGAGCAAAGACUUGCAGAAUUAGGCUUUUGAUGAGAAACUUACGCGAUAAUACACAAAAUGCUAGGCUUUUGGAAAUGUCAUGGUUUUUUAUAUAAGAAUUGACAUUUAGAGACAAAAGUCAAAACUAAUGUUCCAUUCAAGUCUUACAUCCAAGUAUUCCAUCUAUCCAACUAACGUAACAGAAUUAAUCAAUAAGUGGCAAAUCUAUUAAUAUAUUUUAAUGACAGCAGCGAAUGUCUCUUGCCCUCCAUCCCCCAUUUAUUCUUACACAAGAAAAAGGAAAUGAAAGGAGUCCUUGCUGUUUUAAGAUUAGUUAAUGUUUGGAAAGUACUUAAAAGAUAUUUAUCAGGAAAGGACAAAGAUUCCUUACCCUGGGACUGUGGAGGUUUCCCCAUGCUAAGGUGAGGAAAAAGAAUUAGUGAAGUUAUUCAGAAGUAUACAGCACCUUUGCUGGGCAGAGAGAGAGCACAGCAGAAGAGGGAGUGCAACCAGAUGCCCUCCAGCUCUGUAGGACUUCCAGUCCAUUGCAGUACCCCUUAGAAGCAGGAGCAGAGAGAGCUACCAGUAUUUGAAGGAAGAUCCAUCUUCCCCUGAAUAGUUCCUCAGCCACUCAGUAACUCCAGGGGAGAAUCCUGUCCUUUGUGCAUUUCUCUAAUCACUACUCAAGCUGGGUACUACAUGAGGUUUUUUUCUCAAGAGCUAAAGUAUUAUUAGUAGGCCAG